UACGAAGGGGGCUAGCGUUGUUCGGAUUUACUGGGCGUAAAGCGCACGUAGGCGGAUCGAUCAGUCAGGGGUGAAAUCCCAGAGCUCAACUCUGGAACUGCCUUUGAUACUGGCGAUCUUGAGUCCGGGAGAGGUGAGUGGAACUGCGAGUGUAGAGGUGAAAUUCGUAGAUAUUCGCAAGAACACCAGUGGCGAAGGCGGCUCACUGGCCCGGUACUGACGCUGAGGUGCGAAAGCGUGGGGAGCAAACAGG
rnacentral:rRNA from 1 species